GACGAAGGGGGCUAGCGUUGUUCGGAAUUACUGGGCGUAAAGCGCGUGUAGGCGGUUGUUCAAGUCGGGUGUGAAAGCCUUGAGCUCAACUCAAGAAAUGCACUCGGUACUGGAUGGCUAGAGGACCGGAGAGGAUAGUGGAAUUCCCAGUGUAGUGGUGAAAUGCGUAGAUAUCUGGAGGAACACCGGUGGCGAAGGCGGCAUCCUGGACCAAUAUUGACGCUGAGGAGCGAAAGCCAGGGGAGCAAACGGG
rnacentral:rRNA from 1 species